rnacentral:rRNA from 1 species
UAAUACGGAGGGUACGAGCGUUAAUCGGAAUUACUGGGCGUAAAGCGCGCGUAGGCGGUUAAGUAAGUUGGAUGUGAAAGCCCUAGGCUCAACCUAGGAACUGCAUUCAAAACUAUUUAACUAGAGUACGAGAGAGGAGAGUAGAAUUUCUGGUGUAGCGGUGAAAUGCGUAGAUAUCAGAAGGAAUACCAAUGGCGAAGGCAGCUCUCUGGAUCGUCACUGACGCUAAGGUGCGAAAGCGUGGGUAGCAAACAGGAUUAGAUACCCUGGUAGUCCACGCCGUAAACGAUGAGAACUAGCCGUUGGGGAGAAUUAACUCUCCAGUGGCGCAGCUAACGCAUUAAGUUCUCCGCCUGGGGACUACGGCCGCAAGGCUA